ensembl:ncRNA F38B7.12 ncRNA
UUGCAUUUUGAAUCCAUUUGAUUUAGAAUGAAAUCUAAAAGAAAAUCCAAAUAUUGCAAAAGCAUAUGUGAGAAGUAUACAUUGAAAUUCUUGGAAUUUCACGGUUCAUAUGAUAUAGAGGGAGGCCAAGAGGCCAUGAAAAAUGAAAA